ensembl:lncRNA
CACCAGGCGCGCAGCUCUCCAGCUCGGCUGCUACUGGCAGCUCAUGCUGCGGGGAAAUCUGUACUCCCCGAUCCAGCUGUUGUCGAUUUACCACUGAAGCUCAGAUUGAUGUUUAAUACUCCAGACGUGUGAGUCCCGUCCACACGUCCACAUCUAGCUGGUAAACAGGAGAUAGUAGUUUCAGGUCUGCAGGGAGGCCACGUCAGGAGAUAAAGAUCGAACCUAACCCAACACAAGACCAGAAUCGCCAACAACAGCAGGAAUAGAACUCCUGAAGACAAAACUGCACGUUGAAACCUCUGCGUCUGAAAAGUGAAGCCCAGUCACUUAAAUGAAGAGAAGAUGAUUGGGGACAAUCUAUGGAGUAGAGGUCGGACCCAUGAGGCAGCAAGAGAAACGGAGAACGAGUGGAGAGAUGUAAGAAAUUAUUCUGAUCUCAAUCGCCAUUUACUUGGAACACAACAAAUGGAAAAAAAAACUUCUUGACAUGUUGAAGAUGUUCGGAAACAGUCCCGUGUAACUUUGGAUUUCUUAUCUAUUAAACUAACAAUUUGCUGCGUGACGGCAUCUGUCAGUGCAUCUUUCUGUUAGCUGAUAAAGUCCCAGAAGAAGCUUUGCAUUUUGUAAAUGUUUAAUCAUUUUAAAUAGGAAACACAUGCGGCUCUGAAGGUUAUCCUCAUUAGUUUGUGACCUUUUAUUUUACCCUCCAUUACUUUUUAUCACAUGUUUUGAUUUGCAGCAGAGCAGAAGCAAAUACGCAAUGAAACUAUCCAGAAAUGGUGGAUAAAAAUGUUCCAAAAACGCCCACAGGUAGUACAUUUAUUUCCCCGCAGUCAGUGUUGUUUUGAGCAGUUAGGCCAUAUCGAACGCCCGACACUGGCCACCUUUCUAAAGCGACUACGUUGAGCCCAUUUGAUCGUCUCCACAAAUGUUUACUCGUAAAUAACGUCAUGGAUAUUGGACGUUAAAGCAACCUGCAUUAUCAGGAACCAAGGUCAAAGGUAUUUCUGAAUGACUCAAGUUAAUGUCUUAAAGUCACUUGAACUACUGUGGUACACAGUUAUUUGGGGGCAGCUUUGCAAUCAAAGUAUCCGUUCACAGGCAUCCACAUGUGGAGAAUAACUUUACGCUUAAACGAAAGCAGGCGACGUGUUUGACAAAUAAUGCCUGUUUCGAUCAGUGUUUCUUUUUCAAAUGCACAGAUGGUCAGAAUAUUCCCAAAAUAACGAGCUGUGUUUACAGAAAUCCCGAAAAAUCCUAACCAGCUAAUCAGUAACCCUUGUUUUAGUAGAACAGACAAAUAAAAAUGUAACAGCGGCGCUUGAAUCAACCCUUUAACACCGGCAGAAAUUAAACAUUACACAACAAAAGAUCAAAAAUCGCCUUUAUAAAUUCUGUAUUUUAUGAGAGCUGUCAGAUCAUCUUAUGGAACAAAAACGUAUGGGCUUGAUCUCCCAACAAACCAGACUGUUCACACAAAUGUCUCAUAAUGAGACCUAAGACGAAGCUUUACUUCUGCAGGUGAUUCAAAGUAAUGAGGUUCUUCUAAUUGAAUCACACGAUUCGAUUUUGAGGCCAUCCAGAGAGAUGGUAGCCUGUGCGUGGUGUUCAAACAAAGGUCAGGGCAACGUGGGGAGAAGGAGACAACAGCUGGUGUCAUAAUUCUUGAGGACUUCAGCUGUGUAGGGAAAGAGGGACUGCGACGAGUAAAACCAUUAGACGCCCACGACGAAAGCAAAGUAUAAGAAAACCCAGCCGCCUGAGCGGAGGACCUUCAGAUGGUCCUCACAGAUUAGUUUCCUCCACUCAUGAAGACACGCGUUGAUAAGGCGUCAGAGUAUAGAGGACUUUAAAGAAAGCCACUCCCUCCCUUGCUCACGUCUGGCUCUCCGUACUCACCUGUUCCAGCCAGGCGCGCUUUCCCUCCGACAAACACACCUGACCUGCUCCAGAUGCUUUCCAUUUCCCCACGGUAGUCAAC